UUUGCUCGUUCUGUGUCAAUUUGCAGCCUGGCUCGUGGUUUCCCCUGGUGCUGGGGAGUGGAGGCGAGUUGUGCUUCCUGCUGGGAGAGAGAAGGGCCUUGGGAAGCUGCUCCAUGAGCCACAGCUGUGCCGAGCCCGGGAGUCUGUCCAGCAGGAUGUGGAGUGCCACCAUGUCCCCGAGGUCACCCUUUCUGCUGUUGGGAGAGCAUGAGGUGGAUGGAGAGGAUCCCCAGGCAUCUGCAGGCAAAAGGGACUGGCACAACUGUGAUUUUUCUCCAGCUCUCUUAAGGUGGACUUUCAGGGUACCAUGGGUAAUGUGCCAGCUCUCCUGCUGGAGUUUUUGUCUUCUGCUAUAUUUGAACAUAAAGAGUAAAACUAAAGUCAGGUGUGUUCUGGAGUAUGUUA